ACAGCCUCACCUGUUGUUCCUGUCAAUCAGACACGCAGUGUCAACCAAUGAACCAAAGAUGCGUGUGGGAGGGCCGAGCCAACUCAACGCCACUUAGCAGCCAAGGAGAGAGAGGAAGGACAGCUGUGAAAACAACAGCUGGAAAAUGAGUCGGAAGCACAGUAGCAUCUGGAUGCAUUUGAAUAAUGUAGACAAUGUUGGAGCCCGGUGUAGAAUUUGCCAAAACAAAAUCUCAUAUAAAGCCGGUUCUACGCACAACCUAGACCAGCAUAUGCGAACUGUGCACCCAACUGUGAAGCUAGCUGUAGCGGAGCUUCGAGAAACUAGCGGGCCUGCUAGUGAUAGUGGUGGAAUCAGCACCUUCACACGUGGAGAUGUAUCCACUCAGUCAAGUAGGCCUACCCCACAUUAACGCAGUCUUCUAUGGUACAGUUUAUGCCAAAGUCUAUGUCUGUCGCAAAACAAGGCAAAAUUGAUAUUGCAUUGGCUAAAAUUAUUGCCACUGAUUUCCAAACAUUUUCGAUCGUGGAGGAUAGAGGUUUUAGAAAUUAUAACAAUAGUCUAAAUCGAAUGUAUGUAACGGAUGUGAAACGGCUAGCUUAGGUAGCGGUGCGCACUAAAGAGCGUUUCAAUCGGUGACUUCACUUGCUCUGAGACCUUGAAGUAGUAGUUCCCCUUGCUCUGCAAGGGCCGCGGCUUUUGUGGAGCGAUGGGUAACGAUGCUUCGUGGGGGACUGUUGUUGAUGUCCAAGCAGGAAAACCCUUUCAAAAUCACCUGAUUGCAAGAGAUGCUCUGAAGGUGAUGAAGUCCAUUGUGGAAUACUUCAACCACAAGAGCACAGUAGGUGCUGAAAAACUAAAAGUCUAUACAAUGCCAGAUGGGGAUGCCUGAGCUGAGGCCUAAACAAGACUGCACUACAAGGUGGAAUUCAACAUUUUAUAUGUUGAAGCGGCUUCUUGAGUCAAAGGAUGCCAUCAUCUCUACCCUGGCCAUUGUCACAAGGCACCUGCUGAUGCUCUGACCCAAGAGCAAAGGGAGGUGGUGGAGGAGGUGUGCAGAGUCCUGGAACCCUUUGAGCAGGUCACUGUGGAGAUCAGUGGAGAGAGCUAUGUGACAGCCUCAAAAAUGAUACUCCUGUGUAAGGGUCUGCAGCGAAUCACAGCCAGCUGCCAGAGAGAAGCAAAUGUAACCCCAGGACAUGUGACAGUGUUGAUGGACACCCAAUGUUCAUCAAUGGACAGAAAGUUCCACAGAAUGGAAUAUAAUCGCGUGCCAUCAGAAACCGCCGCACUUGACCCCAGGUUUAAGAAGUUAGCCUUCAGUGAUGCCAGAGCGAUUGAGGAGACUCUUCAAAUAAUAACCUCAGCAGCAGGGAGGGACAGCCCCAGCAGUCAGCUGGCUCAGGAACCAGGGCAACAGGAAGAAGAGGGUUCAGAUGGAGCAUAAGCACCAGCAGUAGUGCCACAAACGUCUGCUGUUUGACGAGAGAGCAACUGGGGAUGCAGCACGAAGGAAUCCCUCAGCAAAUGUCAUAAUGGAGGUCCAAUCCUAUUUGGAGGAGCCCCUCCUCCAAAGAUCUGCAGAUCCUCUGAGCUGGUGGAAGAUCAAGGCCUCUUGUCUACCCAUGGCUUACUAAAGUCAUGACAGGGAGACUCUGCAUAGUUAUUGGCCACAUCUGUUCCCUCUGAGAGGGUCUUCUUGAAAACAGGACAAAUAAUUACUGAGAGAAGAAACCGCAUCAGCCCCUCGAAAGUGAGGCAGCUUGCAUUUCUGAAAGCAAAUCUCUCAUAAGAGCGAAAUAUGGUCAGCAUUGCUGUGUGCUGUUGGUUAUAACAUGGCAAUAAAGGAGAGAGAAAAGAGGGACCAGUUUAAUGUUUUAAGUGGAGUGCUGCAGUUCUGCACAUUGUUAUCUAUUUUUCUUUGUUCAGAUUGUAUUAAUUUUGAAUUGUUACAUUUAUAUGCACUUUGUUUCUAUACAUUAAAAAGUUAUACUUUAAA